rnacentral:rRNA from 1 species
UACGUAGGGUGCGAGCGUUAAUCGGAAUUACUGGGCGUAAAGCGUGCGCAGGCGGUUUUGUAAGCCAGAUGUGAAAUCCCCGAGCUUAACUUGGGAACUGCAUUUGGGACUGCAAGGCUAGAGUACGGCAGAGGGGGGUAGAAUUCCUGGUGUAGCAGUGAAAUGCGUAGAUAUCAGGAGGAAUACCGAUGGCGAAGGCAGCCCCCUGGGUCGAUACUGACGCUCAUGCACGAAAGCGUGGGGAGCAAACAGG